rnacentral:rRNA from 1 species
UUGAAAGGGAAACGAUUGAAGUCAGUCAUGCCGGUGGGAAUCAACUUGGGGGAAACUCUGGGUGCACUUCUUCGCUUGGCAGGUCAACGUCGAUUUUGAAUGUCAUAAAAAUAAUUGGGGGAAGGUAGCUUCCCUCGGGAGUGUUAUAGCCCUUGAUAGAUGUGAUGUUUGGGGUCGAGGAUUGCAACGGAUACCUCUGGGGCUAGCCGCCUGAUCUCUAAUCGGUGUUGGGUUACGGAUAGCAUGCUGACCGUUUCUAAUUACUGGUUAAAAGGUUAGAGCAUGCAUAAAUUCGUUAAGGAUGUUGACGUA